GCAUCGGUAGGGUAUGGUACACCCGUUGAAGUAAAAACGGGCCCGCUUUGGAUUCAAUUGACUGUCAGAGCUGGGGUUCGAUUCCCCACCGGUGCA